CAAUAGCGUAUAUUAAAGUUGUUGCAGUUAAAAAAGCUCGUAGUUGAACCUUGGGUCUGGCUGGCCGGUCCGCCUCACCGCGAGUACUGGUCCGGCUGGACCUUUCCUUCUGGGGAACCUCAUGGCCUUCACUGGCUGUGGGGGGAACCAGGACUUUUACUGUGAAAAAAUUAGAGUGUUCAAAGCAGGCCUUUGCUCGAAUACAUUAGCAUGGAAUAAUAGAAUAGGACUUUUGUCUCCUUUGUUGGUUUGAGGGACCGAAGUAAUGAUUAAUAGGGACAGUUGGGGGCAUUAGUAUUUAAUUGUCAGAGGUGAAAUUCUCGGAUUUGUUAAAGACUAACUUAUGCGAAAGCAUUUGCCAAGGAUGUUUUCAUUAAUCAAGAACGAAAGUUAGGGGAUCAAAGACGAUUAGAUACCA
rnacentral:rRNA from 1 species